rnacentral:rRNA from 1 species
AGCGAACGCUGGCGGCAGGCUUAACACAUGCAAGUCGAACGGGCUUCUUCGGAAGUCAGUGGCAGACGGGUGAGUAACACGUGGGAACGUGCCUUCGGUUCGGAAUAACUCAGGGAAACUUGAGCUAAUACCGGAUACGCCCUUUUGGGGAAAGGUUUACUGCCGAAGGAUCGGCCCGCGUCUGAUUAGCUUGUUGGUGGGGUAACGGCCUACCAAGGCGACGAGCAGUAGCUGGUCUGAGAGGAUGAUCAGCCACACUGGGACUGAGACACGGCCCAGACUCUACGGGAGGCAGCAGUGGGGAAUAUUGGACAAUGGGCGCAAGCCUGAUCCAGCCAUGCCGCGUGAGUGAUGAAGGCCUUAGGGUUGUAAAGCUCUUUUGUCCGGGACGAUAAUGACGGUACCGGAAGAAUAAGCCCCGGCUAACUCGUGC